GACGUGGAUGUACCAGCAGAGGACAACCUUGAAACAGUGAGAUGGGCACCCCCAGUUUUCACUGACUUCAGGAACGAGACACUCCAUGUAACAUCGAACUAUCCGGACUGCGUAGAGACCUUUCCGUGGGGCCAGUACGUUGUCCAGUACACCGCCACCAAGCCUUUCAACGGUCUGAGAUCAACUUGCGAGUUCACCGUGAGAGUAUAUCCCAGUCCGUGUCCCCCAUUGGAACCCCCGGCUCAUGGGGCCGUGGCUUGUAACGGCUGGAUCACGCGGCUUGGCCGUGUGUGUAAAACCUUCUGUCAGCAAGGAUGGACUCUACCAAGAGGGCUAGAGGGGAAAAUAAAUCAGCUGUACGUGUGUGGUGCUCAUGGAUCGUGGCUUCCUUCAGCGACAGUACCAUGUUCUGCUCAAACUUCAAGUGAUAACGACGUCGAUGGAUCCUUCCCCGGCAACUGCGCCAGCUCAGAUGCCAAAAAUAGUAUCAGACGUCAGUACCUAACAGCGUUGCGCAACUCAUCGUUCUCCAAAAUUUGCACGUCUUGGCUUGAUCUGUGCUUGGAAGAUAAUGUAGAGGUUACUUGCAGUGGUGACUGAACUAAAUGCCCAAUGUUGUAUACCAUAUCCCCAAUGUCAGCUUUGUGACAGAUAUUAUUUGACUGAAUUUAUAACUGUCUUCUGAAGCAAGUAUAACAUUAUCACCAUUUCUUUGUUUGAAUUAACCGAUACGUUGAUAUUUUCAGAA